GCCUCCAGCCAGAUGGGAAUGAACGUACCCGAUCCCAUCUGAUCUCAGAAGCUUAUUACACUCCCAGCAGGGGUGGUGCAGGCA
rnacentral:rRNA from 1 species